rnacentral:rRNA from 1 species
UACGGGGGGGGCAAGCGUUGUUCGGAAUUACUGGGCGUAAAGGGCGUGUAGGCGGCCAACUAAGUCCGACGUGAAAUCCCCAGGCUUAACCUGGGAACUGCGCUUGUAACUGGCAAGCUAGAGUGUGGCAGAGGGGGGUGGAAUUCCACGUGUAGCAGUGAAAUGCGUAGAGAUGUGGAGGAACACCGAUGGCGAAGGCAGCCCCCUGGGCUAACACUGACGCUCAUGCACGAAAGGCGUGGGGAGCAAACAGGAUUAGAGU